rnacentral:ncRNA from 1 species
UAAAAACUUGGUCCCGACUUUACUAUCAACUUUAGCCUAACUUACACAUGCAAGCCUCCACACCCCCGUGAGAAUGCCCUUAAUCCCCCACCCGGGGACGAGGAGCCGGCAUCAGGCACACCCUAUAGCCCAAGACGCCUUGCUACGCCACACCCCCAAGGGAACUCAGCAGUGAUAAAUAUUAAGCCAUAAGUGAAAACUUGACUUAGUUAAGACUAAGAGGGCCGGUAAAACUCGUGCCAGCCACCGCGGUUAUACGAGAGGCCCCAGUUGAUACACACGGCGUAAAGAGUGGUUAUGGAGUGCACCAACUAAAGCUGAAGUCUCCCUUGGCCGUCAUACGCACCUGGAAGUACGAAACCCCACCACGAAAGUAGCUUUACCCAAACCCACCUGACCCCACGAGAGCUGAGACACAAACUGGGAUUAGAUACCCCACUAUGCUCAGUCAUAAACUUAGAUGUUUUACACAUCCGCCAGGGAAAUACGAGCACCAGCUUAAAACCCAAGGGACUUGGCGGUGCCUCAAACCCACCUAAAGGAGCCUGUUCUAGAACCGAUAAUCCCCGUUAAACCUCACCACCCCUUGUCAACCCCGCCUAUAUACCGCCGUCGUCAGCUUACCCUGUGAAGGCCCCAUAGUAAGCAAAAUGGGUAAAACCCAAAACGUCAGGUCAAGGUGUAGCGUACGAGGUGGGAAGAAAUGGGCUACAUUUUCUGACCCAGAAUAUUACAGACGGCGCCCUGAAAUAAGCGCCCGAAGGUGGAUCUAGCAGUAAAAAGAAAAUAGAGAGUUCUUUUGAAUAUGGCUCUGAGACGCGCACACACCGCCCGUCACCCUCCCCGAAUACCCAUCUAAAAUGUAAAUAACAAGAUAAACUCAUUGAGGGGAGGCAAGUCGUAACAUGGUAAGUGUACCGGAAGGUGUACUUGGACUAAU